rnacentral:rRNA from 1 species
GAUGAACGCUGGCGGCAUGCCUAAUACAUGCAAGUCGAACGGGAGGAAGGAAAGCUUGCUUUCCUGAAUCUAGUGGCGAACGGGUGAGUAACACGUAGGUAACCUGCCCAUGUGCCCGGGAUAACUUCUGGAAACGGAUGCUAAAACCGGAUAGGUAGCAGACAAGCAUUUGACUGCUAUUAAAGUGGCCUUGGCCAUGAACAUGGAUGGACCUGCGGUGCAUUAGCUGGUUGGUGAGGUAACGGCCCACCAAGGCGACGAUGCAUAGCCGGCCUGAGAGGGCGGACGGCCACAUUGGGACUGAGACACGGCCCAAACUCCUACGGGAGGCAGCAGUAGGGAAUUUUUCGUCAAUGGCCGAGAGGCUGAACCAGCCAAGUCGCGUGAAGGAAGAAGGAUCUA